rnacentral:misc_RNA from 1 species
GUCCCAUCUUGUUCAAUUGUUUAAGAACAGCAAGCCACUCAGUUCGUCUAGGCUUCAUAAUCCUUACCCAAGCACCCAACAAAUCUGAUAAACUGGCAUUCUGCACUAGGUAAGAAUAGCAAAUUAUCUGCCUCAUGAGGGCCUUACACCGAUUGGUCAUCUUUGGUGGGAGUUCAGAUAUAGCUUGUUUUUGUGCUUCUGUGACAUUAGCGCCAAUCUCAACCCACUUAAACCUUGGUUUCCCUUCUUUGACUUCGAUUUUUCCCAUAUCUUCCACGCUGAGAGCAGCUAAUAAAGGUUGCAUAUGGGAUUCACAUCUAAAAAAGUUUACAGAUUUUUGAAAUAACAAGCUC